UGGCUCUGGCAUCGAUGAAGAACGCAGCGAAAUGCGAUAAGUAUUGUGAAUUGCAGAAUCCAGUGAAUCAUCGAAUCUUUGAACGCACAUUGCGCCCGCCGGAAUUCCGGCGGGCAUGCCUGUUCGAGCGUCAUUUCAACCCUCAAAUCCUAAAAUUUGGUGUUGGGACGCCCGCGUCAGCGGGGGCCCUCAAAUUUAUAGGCGGUACCGCACGGCACUGAACGCAGUAAUUUAUUCGUUCGGCUCACCUAACGGCCACCUGCCUCUAAAAAUAUCAAAGUUACCAAGGUUGACCUCGGAUCAGGUAGGAAUACCCGCUGA
rnacentral:misc_RNA from 1 species